rnacentral:rRNA from 1 species
AUUGAACGCUGGCGGCAGGCCUAACACAUGCAAGUCGCACGAGUGGCGGACGGGUGAGUAAUGUCUGGGAAACUGCCUGAUGGAGGGGGAUAACUACUGGAAACGGUAGCUAAUACCGCAUACCAUCAGAUGUGCCCAGAUGGGAUUAGCUUGUUGGGGGGGUAACGGAUAACAAAGGCGACGACCCCUAUCUGGUCUGAGGGGAUGACCGGACACACUGGAACGGAGACACGGUCCAGACGCCUACGGGAGGCAGAAGUGGGGAAUAUUGCACAAUGGCGGCAAGCCUGAUGCAGACAUGCCGCGUGUAUGAAGAAGGCCUUCGGGUUGUAAAGUACUUUCAGCGGGGAGGCGUUACCCGCAGAAGAAGCACCGGCUAACUCCGUGCCAGCAGCCGCGGUAAUAC